UUUGUGAAGUUAAUUAAUUUUGUUACUUCGUUUAAAAACUUCAGACUUGAAAUUUUGGAACAUUUUUAAAUUAAACGACUCUCCCUAAUGGACAAUGUGCGUGUGGGAGUACGUACACCCCAUUAAAUUGAGAUCAAACAAAAAUAUUUCAGUUUGAAUUCAAAAGUGCCAAGUAACAAUGGAGAGGAAACUUUCAACUAUGAUCGGUAGAAAUGGCUUCGGAGAAAACUGAGGCGAAGGAAGCGAGGGUCUAAUUACAAAUUUUAACAACGAUUUCAUUUCGAAUAUCUUCGUGUCAAAUGAUGGAGACGAGAAGGAGUGAACCCGUGGGCCCUUACUUUCAAUUGAAACGUCUGGAAUUAUACAAUCUUUUAUUUCAAAUACAGAGAUGCUCUAGUCAUACGAUCGUGGCCCAUCUCAGAAAAGGAAACUGCGGCGAUGAGGUUGUACUAGAGGAAAAAUUGCCACCUCUCCCUCAACUUGCGGAUUCGACUCGCAAAAUCCUAAAUGAAGGAUGAUGAACCGAUUUCUGUGUGCUAUUUAUCCGGUAUCAGCCCUUUCUGACGAGCAUCUCCUUACCUGCAACAAGAAGUGUGCUUACACCCGCCGGUUCACAAUUUGCAAAAUAAUUAUCAUACAUAUACAUAGCGUCGAAUAGUGAUGUAUACAAAUGAGUCCUUAUGCAAUAUAUUCAUAAGUUGUAUUCUCUCAAAUAACUGGGGCAAUAUUUUAAUAUUGAUAUGAACAUUAUUCAUGUUGUCAAUGAUAUUGCAAAGUUUUGGAUAAUUAUUCAAAUAAUGUAUGUAUGCUGAAUGUAUUCCACCUGCAUACCUCAUGAAUAAAUGACAAGCUAUUUUAGA
rnacentral:misc_RNA from 1 species